AAGUCGUAACAAGGUAACCGUAGGUGAACCUGCGGUUGGAUCAUUAUUGAAAAAUAAUAUCAUUUUUUUUUAAAUAGGAAAGUGCCUAUGAACCUCUAAAAGGGGAUAGUAGGUCUUCCUAUUCAAAAAAAAAAUAUCAACCUAAACCUUGUGAAAUGAUAUAAUCAUGUCUUUGGAGUCACUUAUUGUAUUAUGAAAGGUCUUAACAACUUUUCUUUUAAUACAAAGAUGAGGACUCCUACUUAUAAACUUAUUUUUAAUAUACUUAUUCUUUUAAUACUAAAAAAAACGAAUAGCCAAUAAGGAGAAAUCUUUUAUUUGUACUAAUCGUUUUUGAAAGUUAAAAUAACAAAUAACUAGUAAAAAACUUUUGACAAUGGAUCUCUUGGCUCUC
rnacentral:misc_RNA from 1 species